rnacentral:rRNA from 1 species
ACUGCUCAGUAACACGUGGAUAACCUGCCCUUGGGUCCGGCAUAACCCCGGGAAACUGGGGAUAAUUCCGGAUAACGCACAUAUGCUGGAAUGCUUUAUGCGUAAAAUGGAUUCGUCUGCCCAAGGAUGGGUCUGCGGCCUAUCAGGUAGUAGUGGGUGUAAUGUACCUACUAGCCAACAACGGGUACGGGUUGUGAGAGCAAGAGCCCGGAGAUGGAUUCUGAGACAUGAAUCCAGGCCCUACGGGGCGCAGCAGGCGCGAAAACUUUACAAUGCGGGAAACCGUGAUAAGGGGACACCGAGUGCCAGCAUCAUAUGCUGGCUGUCCAGGUGUGUAAAAUACACCUGUUAGCAAGGGCCGGGCAAGACCGGUGCCAGCCGCCGCGGUAACACCGGCGGCCCGAGUGGUGAUCGUGAUUAUUGGGUCUAAAGGGUCCGUAGCCGGUUUGGUCAGUCCUCCGGGAAAUCUGACGGCUCAACCGUUAGGCUUUCGGGGGAUACUGCCAGGCUUGGAACCGGGAGAGGUAAGAGGUACUACAGGGGUAGGAGUGAAAUCUUGUAAUCCCUGUGGGACCACCUGUGGCGAAGGCGUCUUACCAGAACGGGUUCGACGGUGAGGGACGAAAGCUGGGGGCACGAACCGGAUUAGAUACCCGGGUAGUCCCAGCCGUAAACGAUGCUCGCUAGGUGUCAGGCAUGGCGCGACCGUGUCUGGUGCCGCAGGGAAGCCGUGAAGCGAGCCACCUGGGAAGUACGGCCGCAAGGCUGAAACUUAAAGGAAUUGGCGGGGGAGCAC